rnacentral:rRNA from 1 species
CCUACGGGGUGCAGCAGUGAGGAAUAUUGGUCAAUGGGCUUACGCCUGAACCAGCCAAGUAGCGUGAAGGAUGACUGCCCUAUGGGUUGUAAACUUCUUUUAUAUGGGACUAAAAUGUUCCACGUGUGGGAUUUUGUAUGUACCAUAUGAAUAAGGAUCGGCUAACUCCGUGCCAGCAGCCGCGUUAAUACGGAGGAUCCGAGCGUUAUCAGGAUUUAUUGGGUUUAAAGGGAGCGUAGGUGGAUUGUUAAGUCCGUUGUAAAAGUUGGCGGCUCAACCGUAAAAUUGCAGUUGAAACUGGCAGUCUUGAGUACAGUAGAGGUGAGCGGAAUUCGUGGUGUAGCGGUGAAAUGCUUAGAUAUCACGAAGAACUCCGAUUGCGAAGGCAGUUCACUGGACUGCAACUGACACUGAGGCUCGAAAGUGUGGGUAUCAAACAGGAUUAGAUACCCCAGUAGUC